UACAAAUCGGUCCAAUGCUUGGCUUGUUAUUUAAAGACUGAGUCAUUUCAAAGAAAGCAAUGUCUAAUGUUUCUUAUGUUUGUUUUCCCUAAUCUGUCCAGAAACAAAAGCUUAAAUUAUUCAAGUCAUUCUCCCCAUCAUGGAAGGCCCAUCCAUUGUGCCCUUGAUAGUGUUUUUCGCAGUGGCCGUUUCUGUGUUCCUCAUCUGGUUCUGCCUGAUGAAAAGAUUCAUGAGACAUGCGCAGCAUGUGCAGUCAAGAACUACAGUCACGACUACACAUCACCCACAAUAAUCACAUCACCAUCCUGUGGCUAAUAACCUACAGCCAUCUUAUGGAGGGCAUCCCAUUCUGACUGGACCAUGUCAGCAUGCUUAUGUACCGGGACCACCACCCACAUAUCAGGAGCCUGCAGGUUCAUUUCCUGCUCCCUUCAGCCAGGCAGCAUAUGAUGGUGGUCAGAUCAUGUACCCUCUACGACCACCGGCUCAGCCAGUGUUUCUCACAGACUACACCUCACCUCAAGCCCCAUACAACCCUGCUGAUGUGGAAGCACCACAGACCAGUUAACCACACCCCCAAAAUGGCCAGCUAUCAAUGCUGGAUCAUGUAGAAUUGUUCAUUUCCACGCUACUUUGCCUUUGUGAAUUGUGCAACUACAGACUCUGAUGAGACUGUGUUGAGAGUCAAAGUAUUACUGCCAUUUAUGUACAUUUGCCAUUUCUAAGUUAAUACUUGCUUUGUGAACUUUUAUUUACUCCAGUCACGACCCCAUUUGUUUGUUUCUCUUCAUUUUAGCCUAAUUUCAUUUUAACCUAAUAUGUCGUUUUGUUUAAUAAAUGAAAUCUUAAUUUUUUUUUUUAAUGGUCAAAAGUUGAUGUAUGAUCUCUACGUGAGAAAACACUCCUUUGUACAAUUUUAUUGUAGUUUUUGAACAUCAUUCUAUCAAACAAAUCAACCGACUUCAGACUUUCCAGAUUUGGGAAGAUGAGUAUCAUGACUGAGUAUCGGACUGGACUGAUUUAGGCUUUAAAUUACAAAGAUUCCUUAAUCUCCAGAAAUCCCAAAUAUCUAGUCAAGGUGCUACCAAAGAUAAAGGCGCUCCAGAUUUACUCAAACCGUGCAGGGUAUGUCUGUUGUUAACAAAUGGACCAAUCGCCAAUCUGAAUGGUAUUCUAGAGAUAUGCUUUUCGAAGUCCACAGCCGUUUUAUUCAUAAGUGUAAUAGACAAAAGGAUCCAAGACUUGUACUGUCACAUGUUUUAAGACUGUAAACUUGAGUUGGUUUGUGAAUGUGUAUUGGUUCAUUUCAUACAACUCAUCGCUGCAAGAGUUAAAUAAGAAAUGUUUUUGGUUAAAGUUUACUUGUUCUUAACAAUUUUCUUUAAGAUUGUUUUUGUUGGUAAGGAAUAGGCCAGUGGGUUUUCUGUUUGUUUGUACAUAUGUUUUUGUGUAUUAUCUGAUGUCCACACAGGACUGUCAGAUCUAGACAUUGAAAUAAAUGUUUCAAAUUACACUAGUGGUCGUGGUUUCCUUUUGAGAAGUGUCUUGCUUGGAAAGGACUAGUCUUCGCAGGUCUUGUGAGCAGCGGGAAGAAACACCGUCGCCCCACGCCCCCUCCUCAUUGACGGUGAGGGGCAGCUCUAUGUCUUCCAACUUCUCCUGUCCGUAGCAUUAUUCACAACUACAGUCUGUAAGUGUCUAAGCAAACGUUUCUAAAUGUAAAUUUGAACUAUCACUGUAAAAAAAAUUCCGUAAAAUUUACGGUAAAAAACCAGCAGCUGUGGUUGCCGGAAUUCUACCGUAAAAAAU